rnacentral:lncRNA from 1 species
AAUUUUAGUUCCUCUGUUGAUGGUGAUUUUGGUCCUGUUGCUUUGGGGUUUUUCAUGCAAGUCAGCUGGUUUUGGUGGAGCUUCGGACUCUUGGUCGAUGAUCUUCUAUCUUACAAGUUGUUGGAGGUUUCUUCCCCUCGGGCUGCUCUUUUAGAUCGUUUUUAAGGCCACUGGCUAAGGAUAUGUGAGUUUGGUGGGUGAUAUCUUGCUGCGGGGGUUGCAAUUCCAUUUAGGCCAUGGGGCAACUAUCUCCACGGUCGUUGAAACUGGACACGUUUGGUUAGCCGACACUUGCCAUUGUUGCAGUCGAAGCUUUGAUUGGGCUCUUCCGUUGGGCUGUGGUGCUGUCGGAUCAUCUAUGCCUCUAAUCCUGCUUGGUGGGUGGCUUGGGACGUUUUUUUUUUUUUUAAUGAUGCCCAGUCCUAUCUAUAUUAUAAAAC